CUAUUCCUACAUGGAUAUUUUACAAAUGACAUCCCUUAUUGCAAAAUGUAGGAAUAGGAGGAAAAAACCAUAAAAUUGUAGAUAAAGGCCAAAUAAUUACUCUUUUCUAAAGUUAUAUCUUCAGGCUACAAACAGGACAGAUCUCAUAGAUUUAUGUAAGUUAAUACGAAUUGUAAACAAGCGAGUGUGUCCUCCUGAACAGAUUUAAAUUGUGUGUUUGUUGUUGUAUAUAUUGAGGACAUCAUCUAAAUAUAUUCGUCUUGCCGUUUGGAAAUCUGCUUGAGCAAGGUGUUUUUAAGUAGUAACUGGUCAAAAAUAAAUUGUGCCUUGGAAUAUCAAACCACUAAUCGGAACAGAUUUUGCAGACCAAACAGUCCAUUAUUUUGUUAUGGUAUACUUCAGUGCAAGGUUUUUGUUACUGCAAUCCGUGUGAUCUAAACAAAUAUUUUUUUUCUAAACCUACAACAACUUUUUGAUUAUUAUUAUCAUGAACGGGAAAACUCGGUCACGAAACUAUCAUGUGGAAGUAUUUUGGCGCUUGCCUUCUUGACUAAUCUUAGCUAAAAUAAUAUUACGAGCUACCGAACAAGGUCGUUUAGGUAUUUAAAUUAUUUUGUGUGGACGACAUCAACAUCUGACAAUGGGGUUAUUUGAAGGAAUUUCGAAAUUUGCUCUUGUAUCAGCAAUUUUGACUGCUGUUGGAUUUAUUGUACACUUGAUCGGUUAUGGCGCACCGUACUGGAUUAAGUCUGGACUUUUUCAUUCUGGACUUUGGAAAAGUUGCAUUGACAGCAUAUGUGGGGACUUUGUUGGUAGUUCAUUCCUUCCAGCAUGGUUAGAGGCAGCCCAAGCCAUCGAGACAAUUGCCUUUCUAGCAAUACUUGCUGCACUCAUCGUUAUGGGACUAAAACUUACAGUCAUGAAAGAGCAGAAGAUAUUGCCAAUUUUCAUCUUUAUACUUCAGUUUGCUUCAGUUGGUCUGAUCCUUCUAGGUGUGAUCAUUUAUGGUGCCGAAAUGUCUUCAGCUAGCUAUGGAUUCGCGUUUAUUUUUGUGAUUAUAGCUUCGAUUAUAAUGCUUGUCGCUGGAGUCUUCAGUUUCUUGGAUUGGAGAGGCUCUUCUUCACCUGUAUAAACAGUAGUACAAUCGAAACAAGCAUUGCACGUUGCAUUCAUUAGGAUUCAGUAUAUUGUAAUUGAGCUUCCGAGUAUAUUGUUACAGGCUUUAGAUAUUAAUCUUGCUAUUACAAACUAGACUGAGUGUAAAGCAGAAACAUAUUCACCUAAUAACCAUGUUAUAUUGCCUUGAAUGCUCCAAAUAAAUGAGAAAUUAAAAAUUAAAGAGUCAUGAAAGCUCGUAAAACAAAGAAUUUCGAUUUUCCACCAUGUCGAUUGAAUCAAUAUCUAAAAAACCGAUGAAGCAAAACUUUCUCAUUUACAUAAUCAGUAAAAUACUAACAGCCAGCUUUAGAAUUAGUCAGUUAUAUCAUUAUGUAUAAAUAAAAAAAUAUGAAACAUG